rnacentral:rRNA from 1 species
ACUACGGGUGGCAGCAGUGGGGAAUAUUGGGCAAUGGGCGCAAGCCUGACCCAGCAACGCCGCGUGAAGGAAGAAGGCUUUCGGGUUGUAAACUUCUUUUCUCAGGGACGAAGAAAGUGACGGUACCUGAGGAAUAAGCCACGGCUAACUACGGGCCAGCAGCCGCGGUAAUACGUAGGUGGCAAGCGUUAUCCGGAUUUAUUGGGUGUAAAGGGCGUGUAGGCGGGAGCGCAAGUCAGAUGUGAAAACUCUGGGCUCAACCCUGAGCCUGCAUUUGAAACUGUGUUUCUUGAGUGCUGGAGAGGCAAUCGGAAUUCCGUGUGUAGCGGUGAAAUGCGGAGAUAUACGGAGGAACACCAGUGGCGAAGGCGGAUUGCUGGACAGUAACUGACGCUGAGGCGCGAAAGCGUGGGGAGCAAACAGGAUUAGAUACCCGAGUAGUC